AGCUCCAAUAGCGUAUAUUAAAGUUGUUGCAGUUAAAAAGCUCGUAGUUGGACCUCGGAGCAGGUUGAUUGGUCCGUCCUGAAGGAUGCUGUACUGAUCGGUCUGCUCUUCUUCGCGAAGACUCCGUGUGCCCUUAACUGGGUGGGCGAAGGAUUCGCGACGUUUACUUUGAAAAAAUUAGAGUGUUCAAAGCAGGCAAUCGCUUGGAUAUCUCAGCAUGGAAUAAUAGAAUAGGACUUUGGUCUUAUUUUGUUGGUUUCCGAGACCGAAGUAAUGAUUAAUAGGGACAGUUGGGGGCAUUCGUAUUUCAUUGUCAGAGGUGAAAUUCUUGGAUUUAUGAAAGACGAACUACUGCGAAAGCAUUUGCCAAGGAUGUUUUCAUUA
rnacentral:rRNA from 1 species